GACGAACGCUGGCGGCGUGCUUAACACAUGCAAGUCGAACGGAAAGGCCUUUUCGGAGGUACUCGAGUGGCGAACGGGUGAGUAACACGUGGGUGAUCUGCCCUGCACUCUGGGAUAAGCCUGGGAAACUGGGUCUAAUAUCGGAUAGGACCGCACUUUAGUGUGUGUGGUGGAAAGUUUUUUCGGCGUAGGAUGAGCCCGCUGCCUAUCAGCUUGUUGGUGGGGUAAUGGCCUACCAAGGCGGCGACGGGUAGCCGGACUGAGAGGUUGGUCGGCCACAUUGGGACUGAGAUACGGCCCAGACUCCUACGGGGGGCAGCAGUGGGGAAUAUUUCACAAUGGGCGCAAGCCUGGUGCAGCGACGCCGGGUGGGGGAUGACGGCCUUCGGGUUGUAAACUCCUUUCGCCAGGGACGAAGCGUUUUGUGACGGUACCUGGAGAAGAAGCACCGGCUAACUACGUG
rnacentral:rRNA from 1 species